rnacentral:rRNA from 1 species
AGUGAACGCUGGCGGUAGGCCUAACACAUGCAAGUCGAACGGCAGCACAGUAAGAGCUUGCUCCUACGGGUGGCGAGUGGCGGACGGGUGAGGAAUACAUCGGAAUCUACUAUUUCGUGGGGGAUAACGUAGGGAAACUUACGCUAAUACCGCAUACGACCUACGGGUGAAAGCAGGGGAUAUUCGGACCUUGCGCGAUUGAAUGAGCCGAUGUCGGAUUAGCUAGUUGGCGGGGUAAAGGCCCACCAAGGCAACGAUCCGUAGCUGGUCUGAGAGGAUGAUCAGCCACACUGGAACUGAGACACGGUCCAGACUCCUACGGGAGGCAGCAGUGGGGAAUAUUGGGCAAUGGGCGCAAGCCUGAUCCAGCCAAGCCGCGUGAGUGAAGAAGGCCUUCGGGUUGUAAAGCCCUUUUGGUGGGAAAGAAAAGCAGCAGGUUAAUACCCCGCUGUUCUGACGGUACCCAAAGAAUAAGCACCGGCUAACUUCGUG